AUAUUUUGCAACUCUUGUUAAAACUGGAUGUUACGUACACCAAAGUACCCCAGCAAUGGGAAUACUGUCGCAUAUAGCAGAUCCACAUUCUUCCACAACCUAGCUGUGUGCUCCAUUGACUUAUCUAGGUACAGUGAGAUGCAUGAAAAACUUGUAGUUCGCACGUCUAAUGGAAUUUAACAGCGAGCACUGCUGGGAUGGAGCUGGAAGACAGGGAGAUUUAAUGCAAGCAGCCUCAAAGCAAGGAACAGCUCAGCACAGGAACAUCUGCUUUACAGAGAAAAUGUGUCAAUGAGGAGCGCAAGUUCUUUUUCUAAGCUAAGUAAUUAUACCCUUUCCUUGGGCACAAUUCAGACUGUAUGAAAAUGACUUUACACCAGCUCCUUCUCUGGGCACUCAGGCUGAUGAGGAGGAACCGUUCCUUUCCUUUCCUUGUGCUUUUGCAUUCUCUCUUCCUUCAGGAGAAUGAACUCCACCUGCAUCGUGAGCCAUCCUACUGACUGAGCUAUGUCCGUGCAAGGGGGAUGGUGUCUGUCUUUCUCCUAUCAAGCAAGAAAAAUUGGUCCCUCUGUGAGAUCCCUGAAGAAAAUGGAGCCUCUCCAAAACCUGCUCAGACCUAAAUGGAGAUCUCCAUAUUUAGCAUGAAUUUUACCAGUCCUAAUGAGAAAUGACUAAAAGCAUCUGACAACCAGAAUGACAGCAUGGAAGGGUCAGCCCAAAGCACACAACAUUUUUUCACCAGAUUACGUACACCUUACAGAGGACACAGUCAUACCUUCCAGGCUGCAGUUAGAAGUUAUGAGCAAGCCCACUGUGGUUAAAUGGUCACAACCCUUUGCUUCUACACUCCGUGAGUUUUAAUGCUGGAAGCCAGCACAACUGGAUCCCUUUAACCGGCACAGCUCUUGAGCGAGAAAAGUUUUGUACCAGGAAAGAAAUUGCCCAAUUCUCAGGUUUGUCCAGUGGGAAAUUAUAUUAAUUUUUGUUACAUGGAUGGCUUUCAAAAUGUGUGCCUGUAUUUGGACGCAGGGAUUUGAGUGCUGUGUGGAACUACCACGCACCCUCAGCUCACUCAGACUCCAGUAAGACCAUGGUUGCUCCCAUUCAACACCUUUGCUUUUUCCUGUUCAGCUCUUUCAUUUUGAAGACCAACCACCAAAGUGGGGCAAAGAGGUGGGCACAAAAAUGGAGGAGAGGGAGGAUGCCAAAGGAAUUGGAAGACAAAAGCACAGAGACCAUUAUUGAAGUAGCGAAGUCCUCCUUGGCCAGUUCCAACCCAUCUCUUUUCUGCCUUGCACAAUACUGCAGCUGGGCAAUUCUGCAGCCACGAGAUGUGUAUUAGUUUAACAACAUCAGUAGAAGUUUCACAUGCUCAGACAUGGCAGGAUUAUAUAUUACAGGCCUCAAAACACCUCCUGAAUUCAGUGGAGGCUUCACUUCUUCUUCACUGCUGCAACAGCUUCUUUCUUCAGAAGUGGAAACACUGCAGUGUCAUUUUAUUGAUUUCACAGUAAAAUUACAAGUGCCAAGGUCCUGCAAAUGAAUGUCUGACCAAAGGCUGCAGUUCUGGCAAUCACAAAGGUAAAACUGUCUCGGCAUAUAGUACGUGAGUACUGGAAUGGGAACUGCUUCUCUUGUGCUGGGGCAGAUGAAGACCCUGUAUUACUGGAGAUGCUGUGCAGCCAUACAAUACGUGCUGUGCAACCUGUGGCAGCAGGCACAAGCAGAGGAUCUAAAACUUACUCCUGAUGCCCUCUGUUCCACCUGGUAAAUCAGUGACUACUGCAGGCAUAGCACCUGUCAGCAAGGAUUUAAGUAGAUCCACAAAUAUAUUACCAUUACUACAGAGUCAUUAUGGUCUACCAAUUGCAUAUUUAAGCAUUGUUAAAAUAGCAAUAAAAUAUAUUCACAUGAUC